rnacentral:tRNA from 1 species
UCCCUUGUGACUUAGCUGGUAAAGAAUCUGCCUGCAAUGUGGGAGGCCUGGGUUCAAUCCCUGGUUUGGGAA